rnacentral:rRNA from 1 species
AUUGAACGCUGGCGGCAGGCCUAACACAUGCAAGUCGAGCGGAGAGGCGGACGGGUGAGUAAUGCCUAGGAAUCUGCCUGGUAGUGGGGGAUAACGUCCGGAAACGGGCCCUAAUACAGCAUACUAUCAGAUGAGCCUAGGUCGGAUGAGCUAGUUGGUGGGGUAAUGGCCUACCAGGGCGACGAUCCGUAACUGGUCUGAGAGGAUGAUCAGUCACACUGGAACUGAGAUCAGGUCCAGACUCCUACGGUAGGCAGCAGUGGGGAAUAUGUGACAAUGGGCGAAAGCCGGAGCCAGCGAGGCCGCGGGGGUGAAGAAGGUCUCCGGAUUGUAAAGCGCUUUAAGUUGGGAGGCGUUACCAACAGAAUAAGCACCGGCUAACUUCGUGCCAGCAGCCGCGGUAAUUC